rnacentral:lncRNA from 1 species
GAAGAGGAAAAAUGCUUUCAUAUCAUUAAAUGGGAGGGGGCAUGAAAUUUGAGCAUCUUUUUUUUUCCCCCAAAAAAAGGGAGUUCCAUUAAGUAGCAUAUCUCAAAACAUCGGAAUGUAUGAAUUUACUAGUUAUUGUCUGUCAGAUAUGAUUUUACAGCAUGAUACCACAAGCCAGUGAAGGCACUCUUCUAAGGUUGGGUUUAGUGACCGGGGUCUGACUUCUGAGAGCUGAAAUUAUAUAGAAAUUCCGCCACUAUCUCCGUACUAUG